GCAGCAAUGCCGCGUGAGUGAAGAAGGCCUUCGGGUUGUAAAGCUCUUUCAUCAAUGAAGAUAAUGACAUUACCUGAAGAAGAAGCCCCGGCUAACUUCGUGCCAGCAGCCGCGGUAAUACGAAGGGGGCUAGCGUUGUUCGGAAUUACUGGGCGUAAAGCGUAUGUAGGCGGAUCAAAAAGUUGGAGGUGAAAUCCCUGGGCUCAACCCAGGAACUGCAUUUAAAACUAUUGAUCUAGAAUUUGGUAGGGGUUAGUAGAAUUUCCAGUGUAGAGGUGAAAUUCGUAGAUAUUGGAAAGAAUACCAGUGGCGAAGGCGACUAACUGGGCCAUUUUUGACGCUGAGAUACGAAAGCGUGGGUAGCAAACAGGAUUAGAUACCCUGGUAGUCCACGCCGUAAACGAUGAGUGC
rnacentral:rRNA from 1 species